UAGUUUAAACAACGAAGCAUCCUUCAUCUAAAGAGGACUAAACCAAAAGGAAAAAACAAACAAACUUGCAACAGAAAUAAUAUCGUUUUAAUUCUUAUCUCUAAGGUCAGAUGAUAAGUAACAUUCACAUGACACUUUAUCAUUUAUAAAGUGCUUUCACAUACACUCAUUUUAUUUUUGUAUCCUUCAGACUAAAAGGUUGAUGGCAUCACCCCCAUUUUACAGAUGAUGCCAUAAAAGGCUUGGAAAGAUUAGCAGCCCUUCCUGAUCUGAUACGGCCAUCAGACUGCUCAGCGGGGACUGGAACUGCAGUCUUCUGCUCCUGGCUACACCCUGGGCUGUUCUGGGGCUUGCUGGUGACCAGUUCAACCUCAAACCCUAGUUUAUGGAAUUACAUAAAGUCAUGUGCCAUUUGUCUGAAUGGAAACUGGACUACAGCAAAUAGAGCCGAUCAACACAAAGCCACAAUCACCACUUACUAAGGCCCAUUGGGCUCAUCUGUGGAUGUGUCGUACUUGAUCUUGUUGAGCAUGACUCUUAAGUCACCAUGCCUGCUCCUGCCAAUGACCAACACAAACUGGAGGGAUCUUCCGGUGUCAUAAUUAAGACAAGAUAUUUAAAACACAAACGUGCAAAAACAAUAGAUGCAAAUAUGAGUGUGAAUGCAACACCCUCCCACCCGAACCCCUGCAGGAUCUUCAGUGCCUGGUUAUGCCAUUGCCAGUGGAGAAGGCUGGACGUGCAGCAGAGAUCA